rnacentral:lncRNA from 1 species
AUGGACCAAAAUGCUCGAGGGCUGCUGCUGAAUGCUGAUCGAUCACUUAGAAUUGCUGCAAGUAGACACAACGGGUUAUUGGUAAGGUUUCCCCGGGAGCAAGCCAUGUGUCAGUUUUUCAUUGCCUCUCUGUCGUCUUAUAACUAGAUUAAAGAAUGACCAAGACUAUCAAAAUCAAAGGGCCAGCGGUCGGAAAUGCAGCAAGGUCGGUGGGAGCCAGGCUCAAAUCUCCAGGCGCUUUUAUAAUUCUUUUAAUUAUCUUUUAACGUUUCUAAUAUUAUAUUUUCUUUAUAUGUUUUCCAGUUACAUGAAUAGUGAUGAUAUAUAAACCUAUAUAUAAUAAGAAUAUUGCACUUUGCA